CAGCCGCCGCGGUAAUACCGGCGGCCCGAGUGGCGGUCACUAUUAUUGGGCUUAAAGCGUCCGUAGCCGGGUUGGGAAGUCCUCCGGGAAAUCUGGCCGCUUAACGGUCAGAAUGCCGGAGGAUACUCCCAGCCUAGGGAGCGGGGGAGGCCGAGGGUAUUCCCGGAGUAGGGGGGAAAUCCUAUAAUCCCGGGAGGACCACCUGUGGCGAAGGCGCUCGGCUGGAACGCGUCCGACGGUGAGGGACGAAGGCCAGGGGAGCAAACCGGAUUAGAUACCCGGGUAGUCCUGGCUGUAAACGAUGCGGACUUUGUGUCGGACAAGCUAUGAGCUUGUCCGGUGCCGGAGGGAAACCGUUAAGUCCGCCGCCUGGGGAGUACGGCCGCAAGGCUGAAACUUAAAGGAAUUGGCGGG
rnacentral:rRNA from 1 species